rnacentral:rRNA from 1 species
CCUACGGGGCGCACCAGGCGAGAAAACUUUGCAAUGUGCGAAAGCACGACAAGGUUAAUCCGAGUGGUUUCUGCUAAAGAAACCUUUUGUCAGUCCUAGAAACACUGAUGAAUAAGGGGUGGGCAAGUUCUGGUGUCAGCCGCCGCGGUAAAACCAGCACCUCAAGUGGUCAGGAUGAUUAUUGGGCCUAAAGCAUCCGUAGCUCGUUUUGUAAGUUUUCGGUUAAAUCCAUGCGCUUAACGUAUGGGCUGCCGGGAAUACUGCAUAACUAGGAAGUGGGAGAGGUAGACGGUACUCGGUAGGAAGGGGUAAAAUCCUUUGAUCUAUUGAUGACCACCUGUGGCGAAGGCGGUCUACCAGAACACGUUCGACGGUGAGGGAUGAAAGCUGGGGGAGCAAACCGGAUUAGAUACCCGGGUAGUCCCAGCUGUAAACUAUGCAAACUCAGUGAUGCAUUGGCUUGUGGCCAAUGCAGUGCUGCAGGGAAGCCGUUAAGUUUGCCGCCUGGGAAGUACGUACGCAAGUAUGAAACUUAAAGGAAUUGGCGGGGGAGCAC